rnacentral:rRNA from 1 species
GAUGAACGCUGGCGGCGUGCCUAAUACAUGCAAGUCGAGCGGAUGGAUUAAGAGCUUGCUCUUAUGAAGUUAGCGGCGGACGGGUGAGUAACACGUGGGUAACCUGCCCAUAAGACUGGGAUAACUCCGGGAAACCGGGGCUAAUACCGGAUAACAUUUUGAACCGCAUGGUUCGAAAUUGAAAGGCGGCUUAGGCUGCCACUUAUGGAUGGAACCGCGUCGCAUUAGCUAGUUGGUGAGGUAACAGCUCACUAAGGCAACGAUGCGUAGCCGACCUGGGAGGGUGAUCGGCCACAUUGGGACUGAGACACGGCCCAGACUCCUACGGGAGGCAGCAGUAGGGAAUCUUCCGCAAUGGACGAAAGUCUGACGGAGCAACGCCGCGUGAGUGAUGAAGGCUUUCGGGUCGUAAAACUCUGUUGUUAGGGAAGAACAAGUGCUAGUUGAAUAAGCUGGCACCUUGACGGUACCUAACCAGAAAGCCACGGCUAACUACGUGCCAGCCGCCGCCGUAA